UGCAGAAUUCCGAGGCUUGCAUCCAGCAGCAUCGCGAGUCUCUAGGCUGAAAUUUUUGUAUAAAUGGACGCACAAGGUGGAGCACCUGAUUAACAACGUAACAAGAACAUCCACAUCUGUGCGCACUAUCCCUCUGCCUGCAUCUGCAGUGCAGGCCAAACGGCUGUGAUUGGAGGAGAGAGAGGACACACCCCUGUUUGAAUGGACAAGAGCUGAGACUCAGCACAACGUGACUGGAUCAAGAGGACUCUCAUGUUGCUGGGCUUGGUGAAAAUUACCAUUGUUUCUGUUAACACAAGCACAAAAAAAUAAAAAUGAAGAGAAAAAAAUAAGACAAAAGGAACAUGGGGAGAAAGGUGUUACAGGAAUGUAGGUACAGGACAUUACAGAUCAGCAAAGGCGAGAGUAGAAUAAUGUGUAACAGCCACCUCUCUGUCUCUCUCCCUCUGUCACACUAUCCUCUCACACACUUACAUUUCAACACAGCAAGGAUGCUGCACACGUCAACAACCCUCUGCCUGUAACAACUGAGUAAGCAGUUACGAUUGUGGAUAACAUAAUUUCUGGGUUAGCGGUGAGCUCAGGGAGAUGUGAGCUCAUUCAGGAAGACAUUUAAAGGGCACGUUGGACACAUCCCAUCCCUUUAAAUGAGAAAAUGUGGAGGCAGUAAAAGGGAGUUAGUCUCUCAGCAGGUAGAAGAAUGAUGCAACCUGAGCUGAUAGCAUUAAAUAUUAACUAUCAUUUUAAACCGACUGGCAUCAGGACAACCCCAGGGAAACAAACUGCAAAUGUCACAAACACACACAUGGUUGCAAACAUGCAAACACGCUGACUAUUCACAUACUGUACAGCAAUAAUCUGUCUUUUACUUUACUACUCACGUAUGUUUAUCUCUUAGCAUUUGAUGACAAGAAAUGACAUAUUCCUCUGACACAUUCGUAAACAAUAAAACCUGCUCUUGCUCAAGGGGUUUUGUUGCUACAGCUUAACGUGAUCUGGUAUGACCAGUAUCUUAUGAUGGUUAAUGGCUAGCUAAUGUUUGAGCUUUGAGCUUUAACUUUUGAUAGAUUCUUGAGAUGAUAGUGUUUUGUAACCGAUAUUACUGAGUCAGUUCAUUGACUUAAUGAAAAAAAUUGUGGCCACAGUGGCUCUCUUUAGCCACAUUUACGCUGUCUCUGAUUAUCUGUGCUCAAUAUUUCAGAGAUAUUGAUAAAUAUAUAUACUAUAAAAUAUCCUUACUUCAUUCAUUGUUACUAAUUCAUCUAUACCACUAUGAGCAUUGGUCUGUAAUGACACUAAUCAUCCUGUAAGCACUCACCUUUUCCGAGACACAAAUAUUUAAAUUUGGGCAAAA